rnacentral:rRNA from 1 species
GACGAACGCUGGCGGCGUGCCUAAUACAUGCAAGUGGGACGCAAGGGAACACACUGUGCUUGCACACCGUGUUUUCUUGAGUCGCGAACGGGUGAGUAACGCGUAGGUAACCUGCCUAUUAGCGGGGGAUAACUAUUGGAAACGAUAGCUAAUACCGCAUAAUAUUAAUUAUUGCAUGAUAAUUGAUUGAAAGAUGCAAGCGCAUCACUAGUAGAUGGACCUGCGUUGUAUUAGCUAGUUGGUAAGGUAAGAGCUUACCAAGGCGACGAUACAUAGCCGACCUGAGAGGGUGAUCGGCCACACUGGGACUGAGACACGGCCCAGACUCCUACGGGAGGCAGCAGUAGGGAAUCUUCGGCAAUGGACGAAAGUCUGACCGAGCAACGCCGCGUGAGUGAAGAAGGUUUUCGGAUCGUAAAGCUCUGUUGUAAGUCAAGAACGUGUGUGAGAGUGGAAAGUUCACACAGGACGUAG